rnacentral:lncRNA from 1 species
CCAUAUCAAGACUAGGUGAGAGAGGUUAGUAUUGAUACUAGCCAAAAUAAGAACAUAGAAAAAGAGAUUAGUACUGAGAUAGAAGAACCUAAGCCUGAAACUAGUACUGAUACUGGUUUCAAUCUGAGUAAGAAAGAUAAAAGAAAGAAGAGAGUGGAUGAGUUAGCUGAAACAUAUAAACCUAAAGUCCCAUUUCUUUCAGCCCU